AACACUUUGUGAUGAAUUUGUUACCGCCCCAGUCUGAUAUAUUAUGACUGAUAGGUUAUUAUUUUCCUGAA
rnacentral:snoRNA from 1 species